CCUUCGCCUGUUUUACAAAAACAUGUCCUGGUGUCUGAAUUAUACUAGGUUUAACCUGCUCAAUGACUAUUAUAGUUAAAUAGCCGCAGUAUUCUGACUGUGCGAAGGUAGCAUAAUCAUUUGUCUUUUAAUUGGAGGCUAGAAUGAAUGGUUGAAUGAGGGAAUGUCUUUCUUUAUGCUAUAUGGUUGAAUUUAAUUUUUAGGUUAAAAAGCUUAAAUUAUUAAGUGGGACGAGAAGACCCUAUAGAAUUUUAUUUUUAAUUUUUUGUGAAUUUAUUUUGUAUUUGAUAAUUAUAAUUAUUUAAAAAUUUUGUUGGGGUGACAUUGAGAUUUAUUUAACUCUCAUAUUUUAUUUUUUACAAAUAUGUAUAUGAUUUAAUCCUUUAUUAUGGAAUUUAGAUUAAAUUACCUUAGGGAUAACAGCGUUAUUUUUUUGGAGAGUUCUUAUCGAUAAAAGAGUUUGCGACCUCGAUGUUGGAUUAAAAUUAGAUUUAAGUGCAGAAGCUUAUUAUUCUAGGUCUGUUCGACCUUUGAAAUUUUACAUGAUCUAGUUUUCAACCCGG
rnacentral:rRNA from 1 species